ACAAACACAUCUGUGUACAUUGGGGAUGAAUGAGGUCAGUGACUCAGACACACAUGAGGCUCACAAGCCUUCACUGACACAGGUGUAACAAAGCAGGCCGGAUGCGAUGGCAUACACACAACGGAUUCAGAAGGGGAGCAUGUAGUCGCCAGAGUAUGGGUACAUGUGUCGGACCGGUUUGGUGCAUGCAGAGCCGCCCGCGUCCGCCCUGUGGGCACACUCGUCGGUGUCGGUCCGGCAGGCUCCACAGUGGCAGCUGAGGGCUACCGGGGUCGCGGGCGUGCUGGAGCCUAUCCCAGCUGCCAUCGGGCAGGAGGCGGGGUACACCCUGAACUGGUUGCCAGCCAAUCGCAGCAUUGUGAAACCCAAGAUGUCCAAAUGCGGCUGAUUAAUGCGCGGUUGUGUUCGUUGUGCCAUUGUCGCAAUCUCCUUUUCUCUCCUUUUUUCUACCAUGAACAACCUUCAAGUCAAUGUAUAGGUGUAUGUCAACUAUAUGAGAAAGAAAGAAAAUUUAAAAAAAUAAAAGAAACUUUGUGACAAUGGCACUAUAACAGCGGACCCCAGCUGUUCGCAACUGGGUAAAAUCUGUAAAUAAUUGACACUUAUUGCAACUGCCAUGAAAAAGCAACAACUUUUUUCCCCCCAAACAUUCCCCCCGAAAAAAUGUAAAUAAGAGGGAGAUUGAGUUUAAAAAUCCGCACAAAUAAGCAGGGGUUUCUGCAAAUCCGCGAAAAUCCGCAUAUAGAUAAACCUGCAAAUGUAGAACCGUGAAUAUGUGGGGGUCCUCUGUUAAAUAAAAAUACAACUAAUAGAUUUCUGGAAGUGUCCUUUUCAAUAUUAUUGGUAAGUGUGAAGUAAAGUGUCUGCAUGUUCAUGACAAUAAAAGAUGAUUCUUCUUAUAAGAGCAGUAACAACGCUGACAAAUUGUUCCUCUUGUUGAAAAUGUUAAAUCGUAUGUGUGUACCCCACUUUCGUUGAAGGCUAGUGGCACGGGCCGAGGAAGUAGUUCUAUUUGGGUGCAGAUCUGGAUUAAGGCCCAAUCCAUAAUUGUAUAUUCGUUUACAUUUUGAGAUUGUGCGCUGUUUCAAUCUUCAAUCAAUUUGUACCCAAUAAAGCGUAACUCUGAAUUCA